AAAAGGUGGCUAUGCUACCGCUUUUGGAUGGGCCCGCGGUGCAUUAGCUAGUUGGUGGGGUAAAGGCUUACCAAGGCAAUGAUGCGUAGCCGAACUGAGAGGUUGAUCGGCCACAUUGGGACUGAGACACGGCCCAAACUCCUACGGGAGGCAGCAGUAGGGAAUCUUCCACAAUGGGCGAAAGCCUGAUGGAGCAACGCCGCGUGGGUGAAGAAGGUCUUCGGAUCGUAAAACCCUGUUGUUAGAGAAGAAAGUGCGUGAGAGUAACUGUUCACGUUUCGACGGUAUCUAACCAGAAAGCCACGGCUAACUACGUGCCAGCAGCCGCGGUAAUACGUAGGUGGCAAGCGUUAUCCGGAUUUAUUGGGCGUAAAGGGAACGCAGGCGGUCUUUUAAGUCUGAUGUGAAAGCCUUCGGCUUAACCGGAGUAGUGCAUUGGAAACUGGGAGACUUGAGUGCAGAAGAGGAGAGUGGAACUCCAUGUGUAGCGGUGAAAUGCGUAGAUAUAUGGAAGAACACCAGUGGCGAAAGCGGCUCUCUGGUCUGUAACUGACGCUGAGGUUCGAAAGCGUGGGUAGCAAACAGGAUUAGAUACCCUGGUAGUCCACGCCGUAAACGAUGAAUGCUAAGUGUUGGAGGGUUUCCGCCCUUCA
rnacentral:rRNA from 1 species